rnacentral:rRNA from 1 species
GAUGAACGCUAGCGGGAGGCUUAAUACAUGCAAGUCGAGGGGUAACAGGUUGAACUUCGGUUCGAUGCUGACGACCGGCGCACGGGUGCGUAACGCGUACACAACAUGCCUUAUACAGGAGAAUAGCCCAUGGAAACGUGGAUUAAUGCUCCAUAGUACUGAUUAAUCGCAUGAUUUGAUUAGUUAAAGCUACGGCGGUAUAAGAUUGGUGUGCGUACUAUUAGAUAGUUGGUGAGGUAACGGCUCACCAAGUCAAUGAUAGUUAGGGGGCGUGAGAGCGUGAUCCCCCACACGGGUACUGAGACACGGACCCGACUCCUACGGGAGGCAGCAGUAAGGAAUAUUGGACAAUGGGCGCAAGCCUGAUCCAGCCAUCCCGCGUGCAGGAUGACGGCGCUCUGCGUUGUAAACUGCUUUUAGACAGGAAGAAACGCCUCUAUUUAUGGGGGUUUGACGGUACUGUCAGAAUAAGCACCGGCUAAUUCCG